UACGUAGGGGGCAAGCGUUGUCCGGAAUCAUUGGGCGUAAAGCGCGUGUAGGCGGCCCGGUAAGUCCGCUGUGAAAGUCGGGGGCUCAACCCUCGGAUGCCGGUGGAUACUGUCGGGCUCGAGUACGGAAGAGGCGAGUGGAAUUCCUGGUGUAGCGGUGAAAUGCGCAGAUAUCAGGAGGAACACCUAUUGCGAAGGCGGCUCACUGGCUCAUAUCUGACGCUCAGGCGCGACAGCGUGGGGAUCAAACAGG
rnacentral:rRNA from 1 species